UACGUAGGGGGCAAGCGUUGUCCGGAAUCAUUGGGCGUAAAGAGCGUGUAGGCGGCUCGAUAAGUCCGCCGUGAAAGUCCAGGGCUCAACCCUGGAAUGCCGGUGGAAACUGUCGGGCUGGAGUCCGGAAGAGGCGAGUGGAAUUCCUGGUGUAGCGGUGAAAUGCGCAGAUAUCAGGAGGAACACCAAUGGCGAAGGCAGCUCGCUGGGACGGUACUGACGCUGAGACGCGAAAGCGUGGGGAGCAAACGGG
rnacentral:rRNA from 1 species